rnacentral:lncRNA from 1 species
GCCACUUUUAUUCUUCAUGUUGGCGCGGCCGCGCUAUGCUGUAUUUCUGCCUUCUGCUUGCUGGUGCAUUGUUGUCCCUUUGCUGCUGCCUUAGCCCUUCAUUUGCCUUCAAUUCCCACUGAUCAGAGGCCAUUUCACAUCCUCAUACUAUGCUCCAUCUUCAGUUCACCAUAUGCUCACCAUCUUGCCAAGUCCAUCAGUCCAUGCCCUUUCCAUGCCAUUGCUUGCCAUUUGAGUUUUCUUAAUGCAACCUAUAAAACAAAGAUAAAAAAAACAUAAGACGACACUAAAAUACUUGAGAUUAAGCCAUAAUUCUAGCAAGUUGAUAGCCAAUACGUAGGUAUAAAACCUACUUAUCAUGAUGUGAUUUCAGGCAAAGGAGGAUGCUCUGCGUGUAGUCUGGUUUAAACCCUGCUCAUUGUGCAAAAUGUAUUGUUGCAGUAAUUUAUAAAAUUAAGUGGCGC